GAGUAUAGUUAUGAUCAGGAAUGGAGCGGAAUAAUUCAGUAUUGUUAUGAUCAAAGAUGAAGUGAAUAGUUGAAUUUACUUAUGAUGAAAAGCAGAACGGAAUAUCUGGGUGCAGUUGUAGUCAAAGACAGAGCAUAAUAGCAGUUGAUCAUAAUACAUUCAGUUAAAUAAUUUUGCCACAACAACGUGAUCGCGUGAUCGUUAUCGUCUACCUAGAUAGAAGUCCGAAGCGAUUCUGACGUGCAAAUCGAUCGUCUGAUUUUGGUACAGGGGCGAAAGGUUAAUCGGACUGUCUAGUAGCUGAUUCCUUCUGAAGAUUCCCUCAGGAUAGAUGGAGUACGUUAUGAAGCUGUUAAAUU
rfam:Onchocerca ochengi, WGS project CAWC01000000 data, contig: 00741_1274